rnacentral:rRNA from 1 species
GACGAAGGAUGCAAGCGUUAUCCGGAUUCAUUGGGUUUAAAGGGAGCGUAGGUGGUCUUGUAAGUCAGUGGUGAAAUCUUCCAGCUUAACUGGGAAACUGCCAUUGAUACUGCAGGACUUGAGUACAGAUGCUGUGGGCGGAAUAUGACAUGUAGUGGUGAAAUACAUAGAGAUGUUAUAGAACACCGAUUGCGAAGGCAGCUCACAAAACUGUAACUGACACUGAGGCUCGAAAGUGCGGGGAUCAAACAGG